rnacentral:rRNA from 1 species
UACGAAGGGGGCUAGCGUUGCUCGGAAUCACUGGGCGUAAAGCGCACGUAGGCGGAUUGUUAAGUCAGGGGUGAAAUCCUGGAGCUCAACUCCAGAACUGCCUUUGAUACUGGCGAUCUCGAGUCCGGGAGAGGUGAGUGGAACUGCGAGUGUAGAGGUGAAAUCGUAGAUAUUCGCAAGAACACCAGUGGCGAAGGCGGCUCACUGGCCCGGUACUCGACGCUGAGGUGCGAAAG